AGAGGAGAUAGCAUAAAAAGUGUGGCUUAUUUACACUAAGAAGGUAGAAAUUUUCUUCUCCUCUA